ACGUAUCCAGGUGUAAUGAUAAGUCGUUAUCCUAAGGCUAUUUUUUUCUUAUUUUUUCUGUACACUUAGCUUUCAUUUUUUAUUACCAUGCAUUGUCAAGCUUAGUAACUCAUAUAAUUAUUUGUCAGUAACUAAAUGUACGAUGCUGUCCCAUACUGAACCUUCUGACCUUGUUUGUUUACAUUUAAAUUUCAAUGGCGUCAAAAUCACGUGAUGUCAAUUCGUUCUACCCAAUCAAAUUGCUCUACUGUCAAUUAGGGGAUUUUCCAGUCUACGGCAAUUACGUUAUUUCUUUGUGGGAUAUUGCUUCAAAAUAGUUUGCAAUAAUUUUCGGUUUUAUUCAACAGGAAAACUCUUUUUUUGCCAUCCCUUUUGACAUCAGUGGAAUUCUGUAUGAAUAUUUAUCUACAGUCAUGAUGGUCAGAAUAUCGAUCUUUUUAUAAUGAAUAAAAAGAAAAUUCUAUGAAAAAUAAAUGUAAAUUAUUUUUCAUUAACCUACUCUAUAUUCCUGUACAAAAUUAUGGCAUGGGCAUCGUUUUUUCAAUUAGUUUUCCUUUCAUUUUGGUUGGGCUUUUUUCGCGGGAAAAUCGCGAAAGACGUAAGGAGCAUGUCAUUUUAAAAUUCCUAGAAAUACGAUUUGCUUGACCUGUAUUGCCUGCCACAAGAUUGAUGACGCUGAAUGGAAUGUACACAAAGCAAUGGAGGCCGGAAGUGGGAUUUUGUGAAGUUCUAGAAUGUUUUUAGACAUUCGGAAGUCGGGAUUGAAACGGGCAUUAGAAAUUUGGCAUUUUUUAGCAAUAAUUGAGAACAACAAUGAAAACUUACCUUCAGAAAUGUUUUUUUAUUCCAAAGUGCAGAAAAAACGUAUUCUACAUUGUUUUUCUACGCCGGAAGUAGCGUAGUGACGUCAAUGCGGAGUUUCCCCGUGUGUUAAGUUCAAACACAAAUACCUAACGAACUGACAAGAUGAACGAUUUUAGACUACGGUAGGAUACAAGUACACAUUUCAUAACGGUCAACCAAUUCGUGAUGGCGUCCAUAAAAUUAACGAAGGGAUGAUUUCAACUUCACCAUUUGGAACUCUUGGUUUAAUAGCUUCCUUGUGAGAAAAUGUGAACUCUAGAAAUGCCCCCACCAGUACGUAUGCCAGACAAAGAAAGAUGGCCUUCGUUAUCGACAAUUACGCCAAAUAUAGAAGAG
rnacentral:lncRNA from 1 species